GGAGUGGUGUCCGAGCUGGCUGAAGGAGCACGCCUGGAAAGUGUGUAGGCCCCAAAAAGGUCUCCAGGGUUCGAAUCCCUGCCACUCCGCCA
rnacentral:tRNA from 1 species